rnacentral:tRNA from 1 species
GGGCCGGUAGCUCAACCUGGAAGAGCAUCCCCCUCGCACGGGGAAGGUUCCGGGUUCAAAUCCCGGCCGGUCCACCA